ensembl:lncRNA
UUUGACACGCUGAUGACCAGUUUCUUUUGCUUCUGCCACGACCAGUGUGAGGCGUUUUGAUGUAACAGACUUGAUGUUAUUGAGGAGUGCAGGUCGAGAACAUCAACAUAAGCAGUCCAGCAUCGGAGUGCUUCCUCUCCUCCAGGGAACGUGUGACAGGAAAAGUAAAUAACGGCUCCGGAGGCCGUCGGCUGGUCAAAACAAGGCGCAGAGCUGGGGCCUGCACGCCGGAAACGCACACGCACUGCACGUGCACCUCCUGCUGGCAGUGCAGUGGUGUUACCUGUGGAGGCCAUGGUGAGCAACAGGAGCGUUGAGGGGUAGAGGGCCUGUCCUGCCAUGAGGAGGGAGCGCGUGUUGGAGUAGGAGUGCACCGUCUCAGAUCUCCAGCAGAGGGCGAACACCAGACACAAAGCACCAGUGCUGGCGGCCAUGAGGAAGGAAAGAACUCCAAAUACUCUCUCUGCUUCCAGCACUGGAAGACACAUAGACGACCACAUACAGUUCAAAAAAAGGGAAGGAGAAACUAGACUCUUAUAUCGACCUUUAAGCGGAUUACAUUUUUGUUAUAAACAGGCAG